CCUCCUUUCUUCCUCCUUCUCUCCUCCUUCCCCCUUUUGUCCCCCCUUCUGGUGCGACGCCGCGUGGGGUAAUGAAGGUCUUCGGAUUGUAAACCCCUGUCAUGUGAGAGCAAAUUAAAAAGAUAGUACCACAAGAGGAAGAGACGGCCAACUCGUUGCCAGCAGCCGCGGUAAAACAGGGGUCUCAAGCGUUGUUCGGAAUCACUGGGCGUAAAGCGUGCGUAGGCUGUUUCGUAAGCCGUGUGUGAAAGGCGCGGGCUCAACCCGCGGAAGGCACAUGAUACUGCGAGACUAGAGUAGUGGAGGAGGAACCGGAAUGCUCGGUGUAGCAGUGAAAUGCGUAGAUAUCGAGCGGAACACUCGUGGCGAAGGCGGGUUCCUGGACAUUAACUGACGCUGAGGCACGAAGGCCAGGGGAGCGAAAGGGAUUAGAUACCCGAGUAGUC
rnacentral:rRNA from 1 species